CCUACGGGAGGCAGCAGUGGGGAAUAUUGCACAAUGGGGGAAACCCUGAUGCAGCGACGCCGCGUGAGUGAAGAAGUAUUUCGGUAUGUAAAGCUCUAUCAGCAGGGAAGAAAAUGACGGUACCUGAUUAAGAAGCCCCGGCUAACUACGUGCCAGCAGCCGCGGUAAUACGUAGGGGGCAAGCGUUAUCCGGAUUUACUGGGUGUAAAGGGAGCGUAGACGGCAGCGCAAGUCUGAAGUGAAAUGCCGGGGCUUAACCCCGGAACUGCUUUGGAAACUGUGCAGCUAGAGUGCAGGAGAGGUAAGUGGAAUUCCUAGUGUAGCGGUGGAAUGCGUAGAUAUUAGGAGGAACAUCAGGGGCGAAGGCGACUUACUGGACUGUAGCUGACACUGAGGCACGAAAGCGUGGGGAGCAAACAGGAUUAGAUACCCCUGUAGUC
rnacentral:rRNA from 1 species